rnacentral:lncRNA from 1 species
GACCCAAUAGCUAUUGUCGGUUGUGGAAGAGCCCUGCUGUGAUUAGCUAGUUCAGAUGUACAAGUGGAAAAUAAUAAAUAGGCCGAACCUAUUGUGUUUCUAGUCAGGUUUUUAUUUUUGGCAUGUCUUGAUUUCUUUUUGCUUAGUCUGACAAGGAAUUGAGUUCACUAAAUAUAAUUUCUGGAAAGUCUCUUCAUCUUUUCUCCCCUGUGAAUUGUGUUAUGGUAAUAUUCAGUACUGGGGUGUGGUUCUCUUGACAAUGUGACACAUAACAGCUAAACAUGCUAGCUGGGACUGAACCAGUUGAAUGUGUAACUCCAUUGCCACUUUUUGAAGCUAAAAGCUAGUUACACUUCAUUUGGAAGUUGAAACCAAUCAAAUAAAUUGAAGUUCUAUUAUGUUUUGUUGAAUGUCUUCUUGAAGUGAGGGGUCGCCACAUGACACGAUUAUGAUUGAAAUCCCAAUGACUCCCACACACACAAAAAACACGGCAUGCUUGUCACACGAAUGCAGGAAUGUAUAAAAGGUUAUUUCCCUCUCGUUGAACAUAACAGGAGGGUUGUGUAGCUGGUUAUAGAUGGAAUGGCCACUAAUGGCGCACCAGACAUGUGGUGCGCCAUUGCUAUAUAGCAAUGGCGCACCAGACAAACGGUGUGCCAUUAGUAACAAAUUUUUUUUUGCCAGACAUACUAAUGGCGCACCAGCAACAUAGUGCGCCACUAAAAUAUUUUUUUGUUUUUUACUUUUCUGCAAAACUACUAAUGGCGCACCGGGUGCAGUGCGCCAUUACUAGUUUAAGCUAGUAAUGGCGCACUGCUCCCCGUGCGCCAUUAGAGUUUUUUUGCAAAACUACUAAUGGCGCACUACCAGCAGGUGCGCCAUUAGUAACCAGGGUUACUAAUGGCGCAUUUUGUGGUGGUGCGCCAUUAGUAACCUGGGACGAGCUAGAUAUUUUGGACAGCCACACCUACCCACUCACUUUCCCCACUUCAUUCUCUCCUCCCUCCUCCAAGCUUGUCUCGGCUGCCUCCUCCUCCUCACCUCAUUUGCAUCAUAAAUUCAUCCAAAUUACGUGGUUAAAGCCCCUUUUUUUGAUAGGUAAGUAAGGGGGAAGCUAUCUUUAUGUUGUUCUCCCUCCAACAACGUGCACAUGCACUUUUUAUGUCCUAGCUAGAUCUAUGUAUGUUUGUGGUGUUGCAUAUGUUUGUGGUGUUGCAUAUAUGUUUGUGUUUGCAGGUACCGGUAUUUGAAAUGCGAUAGUUGCCAAUAUUUUGCCGGAAUGUUGAUUCAUUUCCGUUUCGGCGAGAAUUUUGGCACUAUGCAUUCUUUUUGGUCCUAUUUUUAGGGAAAGUCAUGCCAAAUUUCUUCUUGGUUCUAAAAUAUCGUUUUGCUCUACCCCGCAGUUGACCAUGGUCCGCACGAUGACCGAAGGCAUCGUGAAUAGGUUUUUGAGCUCUGCGAAGGCCGAGAUGCUUGAAAAGAACGAGACGGAGAUAAGAUGUCCGUGUCGAAGAUGCAAGCUGAAGAGCCUUAUUGCGGACCCGGAUUCCGGGCAGGUGCGGGACCACCUGCUCUUGCGUGGUUUCAUGGAUGGCUAUCGGUGGCAAGGUGAUGAAGAUGACUAUGAAGUCGUCCAUGGGGGUCGGGCAAGAAAUGAGGAUGGGCAGCAAGACAACCACCGCGGCUCGGGCGGGCGAGAAGACGAAGAAUCUCCAGGACAUGAUCACGACGGUGAUGCUGUACACAGUCAUCAUGUAGAAGAUGCCGGACAUGAUGAUGAGGAAGAUGCGGGAGCAGACGAAGGGCAUGAUCAUGAAGAUGAAGAUGCCGGCGGAGCAGACGACGAUGGACCAUCGAUGGGCUGGGUGCAGGACCCUCAUAUUCAAGAGCUGCUUCUCAAGCAGACGGAUAACGCAAGAGCUGCCGCCCGAGAGAAAGCCAAGCUGGAUCAACUGGAGAUAGACGCGGUUACUCCAUUGUAUGAAGGAUGCAGGCCCGAGGAUACCCGCCUGAAAGUAACGCUCAUGGCUCUGGAGAUGAAGGUAAAGCACAAAAUGACCGACGCAUGCUUCGACGAGAACAUGUCAUUCUGGCACGAACGUCUUCCCAAGGGGAACAAGUGCCCGACCAGUUUCGAGGAGGCGAAGAAAAUCGUGUGUCCUCUGGAUUUACCGCACGUGAAAUACCAUCUGUGCAUGAACAAUUGCAUCAUUUAUCGGGACGAGCACACGGAGUCUACCAUAUGUCCGGUGUGCGGCGUCACUCGAUACAAGAAGAGGAAGAAAGCUCCUCGAAAAGUGGUGUGGUACUUUCCGAUCACUCCUCGUCUGCAGCGGUAUUUCGCGGACCCUAAGGUAGCAAAGCUCCUACGUUGGCACGCGGAUAGGGAGGAGAAGAAGCGAGAAGAUGACGCAAAUGAUCCGGAGAUAAAUAAAAAAGACAAGAUGCUGAGUCACCCUAAGGAUGGGAGCCAGUGGCAAGCGUUGAAGUUCGAACACCCAGAAUUUAACGAUCCAAGGAACAUCGUGCUGGGCGCGAGCACCGAUGGAGUCAAUCCGUUUGGCAGCCAGAGAAGCACACAUAGCACCUGGCCUGUGUUUGUGUGGAUGUACAACCUUCCCCCCUGGUUGUGCAUGAAGAGGAAGUACAUUCACAUGAGUAUGCUAAUUGAAGGGCCGAAACAACCAGGGAACGACAUCAAUCUGUAUCUGGGGCUGCUGGAAGAGGAGCUAGACACGCUGUGGAAAACGCCAGCCAAUACGUGGGACGCCGCAGAGAAAGAAUAUUUGGCCUAUGCAACUUUUUCGACGUCAUCUCUCGGAAGUCGGUUGGCGUGAGGCAACUCAGAAGGCUACAGGAAGAGAUCGUGGUGAUACUAUGCGAGCUUGAGAUGUACUUCCCUCCCGCAUUCUUCGACGUUAUGGUGCAUCUGCUGGUCCAUAUCGUGGAGGAUAUCAUCCAACUCGGGCCGACGUUCCUGCACAGCAUGAUGCCGUUCGAAAGGAUGAAUGGUGUCAUCAAAGGAUACGUUCGCAACAUGUCACGUCCAGAGGGAAGCAUAGCCAGGGGCUUUCUGACCGAAGAGUGCAUCUCCUACUGCACGAAUUAUCUAGGCAUCGAGAACCCCGUUGGUCUGCCCGUCAACAGGCACCUCGGCAGGCUCGCUGGAUGGGGUCACCGUGAGGGUCGCCGCGAAAUGCAUGUCGACUUCGAUGGUCGACUCGCCGACUUUGAAAGAGCAAACCUAGUCGNNNNNNNNNNNNNNNNNNNNNNNNNNNNNNNNNNNNNNNNNNNNNNNNNNNNNNNNNNNNNNNNNNNNNNNNNNNNNNNNNNNNNNNNNNNNNNNNNNNNNNNNNNNNNNNNNNNNNNNNNNNNNNNNNNNNNNNNNNNNNNNNNNNNNNNNNNNNNNNNNNNNNNNNNNNNNNNNNNNNNNNNNNNNCCUCUCCCCCGCACCCUCCCCGGCCCGCUCCACCGUCACAAAUGAAUGCAACUAAAUUUGCAAAAAAAAAGCAUAAAAAAUUAUUACUGUUAUGAUUUAAACAAGUUUGAACAUAUUUAAACACAAAUAAAUAUCAAACAGCAUUUUAAAUGCAUAAAAAUAAAAAUUGGGGAGCCUGGGAAUCGAACCCAGGACCUCCUAGUGUGUGUGUUGCGUGCUGACCAGUCGGGCUAGUGGGCGUGUUCUGAUGGAGAUAGGGUUAGGUGGGAUAUAACCUGACCAGUCGGGCUAGUAAGUAAAACCAAAUUCUAAUGGCGCACCAGGGGGAGGUGCGCCAUUAGAGUUGACGUACUUAUGGCGCACCAGGGGGAGGUGCGCCAUUAGAAUAGACAUACUUGUUCCCCUCGCACUGUCGCCUCCCUCGAUCCCUCCCCUCGCUCGCCAGAUCCCCCACUCCUCGACCCCAACCGUACGCCGCCACCCCCUUGCUCCGCCCCCUCCGUCCGCCGCGCCUGCACGCCGUCCGCCGCUGUGCUCUUGCGCUGCCUCAACGCCGCCGCCCCGACCCCCGCCGGACUCCACCCCCGCCCCAGNNNNNNNNNNNNNNNNNNNNNNNNNNNNNNNNNNNNNNNNNNNNNNNNNNNNNNNNNNNNNNNNNNNNNNNNNNNNNNNNNNNNNNNNNNNNNNNNNNNNNNNNNNAGCUUCUCCUCCUCCUCCUCUCACCACCCGUGCCUUCUUCUGCUCGAAAGGUCAAGAAGGCGGCCAAGCACGCCGACGACAUCACGGGCCCCUUCCUCCGGAUCGCCGCCCGCAGCCUCCUCGACGCCAGCGUCCACCGUAGCACCACGACCGCGUCUGCGACCUCGUCUCUGCUCCGCCGCCGUCUACGACCUCGUCUGCGACCGCGUCCAUCAAGGUGAGUUCUUCCAUGGAUCACUUCCAGGCCGUCGGUGCCAUCCUGUUAAUCAAGAGUGCUACUCCAUCUAACUGUCAUGAGGGAUUAUGGUGAAUUUGCAAUGCAAUGCCAGUACUACACCUGACGAUUUGCAAUGCCAGUGUGAAUUUGCAGUGCAAAAAAAUUGCCAGGUCUACUCCAUCAAUUGUUGUUCAGUUAAUUUGGCUUUACUGAAAAUCUUACUGAAACUAAAUUAUAUGCAGCAGUAGUAGUAGUAUAUUGUGCUUAGGGCAUGAAUCAUAUUGGGCUGCUGUUUCAGUUAAGAAGGCAUCUUAUAUGCAGCAGUAGUAGUAGUAUAUUGUGUUUACUGAAAAUCUUACUGAAAAUUCAGUUAAGAAGCUUGAACAGCACCUUAACAAUGAGGCACUACUAAUUGGGCUGUUGUUUCCUCCCCAAAAGAAGGCAUCUAUGUGUUGCUUCUCAACCCUGGUGCCUUGCAGGUGAGAUCACCUGCUUUACAGCUUUCUCUUGCUGCAUAGGAAAGGUAUUUUGCAGUGCUCAAGCAAAGUGAGGAUAGUUUUUGCACAACAGCUGAAUGUAACUGAAUUUUUGAACACAUGAAUUGUAGAUAGUUUCAGUUAACUAAGAUUGGCAAAAUAUCUUGUUUCAAAUAUAGCCUAUGCAUGUGUUGUUUUCUGGUUAUGGAUAUUGUAUAGUACUGCAUAUCUUGUUUUUUUGUAAUAUAAUGCUUACCAAAGGUUUCAAUAUUUUGCUGUUACCAUUGUUCUUUGAGCAUAAUUCUUUUUCAUUUCCUACUAUCCUUAUUCUAAUUCUCUUAAAUUUUGAAGCUGGAAAUAAACUGCCAAAACUGAAAGAAAUUGGAGUGUUGAAGAUAUGCUAGUGCUGAAUUUUAGUAGUAGACUAAAAUAAAUUUUAGAAUGACUGAAUGUAUGCAGCCUGCAGUAGUGUAGCUGUACCAAAAUCACAUAUGCCCUAAUGUAUGCAGUCAUGUUUUUAUGCCAUUCUGACUUGUCCACUGGGACUUCUCUCCUGUGAUGUCUGUUUUGUUUCUGCAAAAACCCACUCAGUAGUGUGGGACUGUGGAUCAUUAGCAAGGAAACCCUGCUUUAGUUCAGACUUCAGAGAUAUUUGCCUUUGCUUCAAUAGGUAGUUUGCUCACAGUCUAAGUUGAGCUGAUUUUGUUGGGUGACCUAUUAGAUCUGGAAUGGAAGCUCACAUAAGUUGAGCUGCUUUUUGUCCAUAUGAAAGCAGAGGACCAUAUGGUCUGUGGCCUUUUCAUCCAUAUGAAAGUAGAGGCACAUUGUGGUGCUAGUUUGCUGGGUUUUGUCUCCGACCAUCGUGUCGUGAUGAUUUUGCAGGUACCUCGAGAGACCUAGUGGGGUCGGGGAUGAUGACACCACUGAUGGUGCCGCCGAGGAUGCCACCACUAAUGAUGGCGGCGCACGCACAGAUGGUAGCCAACCGAAGAGGCAACAGAAGGACCGGUGCCCGAACAUGCUCGGCACCGUCAAGGAGGAAUUUCCUGAAGUGAACUCCGACGGGCAUCCAACGGCGCCCAAACAUGUAGUCAAGGGGUACUCGGUUCAGCUCGGGUGCAUUCUCCGGAGCACCGUCUCGAUCAACACCGAGAACCUAAGGCAUAAGGACCGAGGGAAUUUGCGCUGCCUCCUCUUCACGAAGCUGCACGAACGAUACAAGUUCCCCAAUGAGUUUGCAAACACACGCCUCUCAGGGAAUAAAAUGAACAGUGCCGCCCUCACGAGGAUGAGCACGGCCCUGUCUACAUGGAGAAGCACGGUGAAGGCAAUGAUUGAAAAAGGUGAUAGUUAUGAGAAGAUCAAGGCGAAAUAUCCUUUGAUGAGCGAAGAUGACUACAAGGAGUUCAAGAUCAAGUGCGAGAGCAGCGCAACCUCCGAAUCAAGUCAGUGGGGGAAAGAAAUGCGGCAGUUGAACUUAGGGGUCCACCAACUCGGUCCCGGCGGUUAUAGAGUGGCGGAGCCUAUAUGGGACAAGGAGGACGCGGAGCGUGCCGAGCAAGGCCUACCGCCCCGCUUCGAGAAAUUAACUGACAAGCAGACCAGGAACUUUGUCAGGGCCCAGUACAAGGAGGACCCGGUAACAAAGGAGCUUACCACGGAUCCGAAGACCAAGGCGCUUGAGAAAGUUCUGGUAAGGAAUACACCCCCGCGUAAUUAGCUACAUAUAUGGUUGCAUUCUAGUUAAUGAAGCCAAAUUUCUAAAUGGUUCACAUUCCUUCCGCGGGAGGCUGAAAGCAGUAGCGCGGGGUCAUCUUAGAGCUCCCCUUUUGACACCCCUUUAAAUAGGGCGUUGAACGUAAUGAAAAACAAGGAUAAGCUCAGUAAGCCGUCGUCAGCUGGUCGUGUGGCCGGCAAAGGCUUGUCCACAAAAUGGUCGUCAUACUAUACCGCUGGUGGGCGAAAGGAGAAAAAGACCAUCUUGGAAAGCCAGUCGCGCGAGGUUCAAGAACUCAAGGCACAAGUGGCGCGGAUUCCGGAGAUUGUCCAAGAGCAAGUGCAACAACAACUGGGAACGACGCUCACCGCCAUUGUGCCUACCUUGAUUCAGGGGCUGACGACGUGGAUUGCGGGCGGCCAACAGGGGCCUCCCCCAGUUCCCAGCUUCACGGCCAGCAACUCGCACAACGCGCAGGCGGCGCCAUUGGUGUCUCCGGCGGAGGCGGUAUUCGUGUCUCCGGCGCCGGCACGGGCAUUGGAGCUUAAUGCACCUGGGUGUACGCCGGCCGGCACCUCGCCAGCAAGCGGCCCCUCCGUCAGUUCCACGCGCACGCCCGCCGUUGGCGGUGCCUCGACAUUAGCCGAGCUCGACGGCAUCACGGUAACUAAGCCUCUCGGCCGAUGACUUCAUCUCCUUGCCUUUGACUGGGCAUCCCUGACACCCUACAUGUUUUCGUAGGGCGCCACCGAUGUUCCUUGCACUCUCCUGCACUUCGUGGGCGGCGAGUUGGUCGAUGUCGCCAAGGGCAGAAUCGUUCAACCGGGCAACCGCGUGUUCCACGGUAAUCCGAUGCCACCCACCUUCUAUAGGGUUGAACUGGUUCGGGUACUGCCAGGCUGCGACGAGUUGUUACCUCCGAUUCGACCCGCUGGGGCCGACGAAGAUGAUGUGAUGACCCUCAGCGCCUAUGUAAGCUGGCCCCUGCUUUGGCCGAAGAGCCAGAUUCGUUUGGGGGCGGGGGACACCACCCCACAGACAAGACAGCCAGUCGUGCCAGCGCCAAGCCAUGGCAAGAACGCCGCAACGCUACCGGACCUGCCGGACAUCCCUAUGGCACAGGAUCCGAACAUGCAUAUGGCACAGGAUUCGGACGACGACGACAACGACGACGGUACAUUUACCAACGUCGAUAAGUACUUUGCCGAGCAUGGGUACGGUGACGAGUUCUGCGGGCCUCCUUCUCAAGAACCCAACCCUCAAAAAGACGACUGCGAUCUAGCUGGUACGGCGGAGAAACCAAAUUGCAACAGGCGUCGUCUGGCGUUCAGUUCUCAGGAGACGCCUCCAGCUGCCGCCUUCACCGAUCCUCAGAUAGCUGAGGUGCCAAAUAUUAUCAGCCCCAACACGCUCAAGAAGGCGGUCUGUGAGCAGAACUCGAUCCCAUUACAGCAGAUCAAGAAGAAGCGACGGAAACGAAAGACUAACAAGGGCGCCAGUGCGAGCCAACCGGCACCGAGUACGAUCCGUGCUCAGGACGGACCACCUUCACCUAAGGAUAUCUCGAGGAGGGUGCAUGUGGUGGGUAGGCCGAUGCUACCGACAAAUAUGCUCAAUGCUGCAACCGGUGCUAUGCAGAGUCUGCAUGACAGUGUUCUUUCUUUGGAGAAGCGGCGUCUCAGAGAGAAUGAUGUGGCAUACCCGGUUUUCGUGGCCAAGGUGCCAGAGGGCAAGGGCUUUGUGGAUAGCGCCGUCGGGGGUACGAUCGUCCUGCGAUUUGAUGACAUCUUUGCUAUGCUUAACCUUCAUCCGCUGCACUACACCUUCGUUCGGCUGUUUUCGCUGAGUAUGGAGAUGCGGAUCAUUAGAGACAAGACCCCGGACAUUGUGAUAGUCGACCCCUUCUACAUGCGUGCCAAGAUCUUGGGCAGCGCCGGGGACCGGCAAGUCGCGAGUUCACACCUCGAAGGCGUCAUUCUGGCAAACCCAGAUAAGGAUAACUUCCUCGUGCCUUACUUUCCCGAGUAAGUCAUCUCCUAACCGCCCCGUAACAUAUGUUUUCUUAGAUUUCGAUCGUUCUUUUUUUUCUAACAUUCCGUGUUCUGUGCAGUGACACACAUUGCACACUCAUCCUCUUAAGCCCGAAAUAUUCCAUGGCCACGUAUCUCGACCCGGACCGUGACUCCAAGAUAGACUACACAAAUAUCAAGAAAGUUCUUGAUGAUGCUCUCCCCGGCUACGCCGCAUCUGGAGGCACCUUUAAGAGGCCAGUUCGUAGGUACGGCAGGCACGUGUUCACCCACAAUACGUCGUUCCCCUGCGUCAAGCAGCCGCCUGGCGGUCAGAAGGAUGCCUACUACGCCCUCCAUCACAUGCGGGCGAUCGUGCGGGACCAUAAUCACCUUCUCCUACCAAAUAAUCUCAAAGAUUGGGCCGCAAGCUUGGGGGCAAUCCAGGACGCGGACAUCCGACAAGAAUUCUUUCGCAUCCAGUCGGAGUUUGCAGAAAUCAUCCAUCAAGAUGUCCUUCGUACCUCGGGGCAGUUCUACCUCAAAUUUCAACCAUCCAACAGCGAGAUAGACACAACGCUACAAAUGCAGGCUGACAACGCCCGCAACUUCAUGACCAUCACGACAGACGGCGGCUUCAUCCACGCUCCGGUCCCAUGAGUCGAGUCGAAAGUUGUGAUGCUAUGUGUAGUUCUGAAACAUUCAUUAGCUCAUGUUGUAAUUAAACUGUAGUGAACUUGUAUGUCUCUUUGGUUUGGACAGUCGUCGUUCAACUUAGAUGUAAUCGAUGCUAUUUGUUAGUAGGACCAUGAAUCGUGCUAUGGAUGUCUUGCUUUUCUCUUCCGAUCCUUUUGUUGCAUACUUAUAUAUUGCUUAUGUAUUGUCUGUUGUUUGCCUAGUGCAUAGAGAUGCCGUCGUAUGUCGUGUACAAGGGUAAGGUUCCCGGAGUCUACGACGACUGGGAGGAGUGUCGGAGACAGGUUCACCGUUUCAGCGGUAACAGUUACAAAGGGUACACCACUAGGGCGGAGGCGGAAUCUAGAUACGCGCGCUAUCUAGCGGGAGAGAGGAGGGAGCGUUGGAGGAACCGGAUGAAGACCAGUUUCAUCGCGAUGAUGCUCAUCGUGAUGACCGCAUCUCUCUUCUAUGUGAUGGUAGUUUAGAUGAUCGAUAUCGACUUGUAAUGUGAAGACAAACUCGCUACUCGCGGUCUCGAGACUUGUAAUGUUCUAUCUUCGUUCGGUCUUUUGAAUUCGGAGGCUAAUAUGAUGAAUUAUAUUCGGAGACUAAUCUUCUAUUGUAUUCAAUGAAUCUGCUGUUGCUGUGUCCUGCUGCUUAUUUUCUGUCCAAUAAUAUAUUUUGUAAUCUGUGCAAAAAUCAGAAAAGAAAAAAAUAAUAAUCCCUAAUAUACAUACUAAUGGCGCAUCACGCCAACGUGCGCCAUUAGUAUGCCAAAGGAUACUAAUGGCGCAUCCCAGAGCAGUGCGCCAUUAGUAUGCCAGAGGGUACUAAUGGCGCAUCACCCAGCAGUGCGCCAUUAGUAUGCCGAAGGAUACUAAUGGCGCAUCACACUGUAGUGCGCCAUUAGUAUGGCAAAGCACAUGGGUAUAUAUGGCCUCCUGGGAGGCAUACUAAUGGCGCACCGUGGCCUAUACUAAUGGCGCACGGCACGGUGCGUCAUUAGAGUACCAGAUACUAAUGGCGCACCUGUGGUGCGCCAUUACUAAAAUAUUCUAGUGUCGUGGUGCUAGUGGCGCACCAGUAGUGCGCCAUUAGUAGGCAAAACUGGUACGCCACUAGUAAGCCUUUUUCUAGUAGUGGUCCAUUUGCACUAGAGAAUAAAUAAUUUCCUUUAUGUCUCAUGUUUUUUUAAUCUUCGAUCACAUAACUACACAGUACCCACCUCUUAGUUCGCCUAGAUAUCCCACUACGAUUCUCUCCUCUAUCGAUGGUUUUCCAUCGGGAUUGUCGUUGGUUCCUGACCUACUGUGCUUGUAGGGACCGGCAUUGGUGAUGGACAUGGUGGAGAUGACGUGUUAGAAGAUGUGAAAUGGUUGUUUGUUGAGACAUGCUAGUAUGAUGUGAUGACUGAAGGUGAUGUUACAUUAUCUCCUAUAUGUGUCCAUCGGGGAUAUCUAUGCUAUUUUACAAUUUACUGGUUAUUGCUGCAUGGGCUUUGACUGGCGAUUUUUCUUAUGAAAUUAUUAACUCCAGUAAUUUGUAAGGCAUCCACCAUUUGGCCUAAGUAAUUGAAAAUUAUAUACAUCAGAAACUAAGUAAUUCAGAACCCUAACUAGUACAGUUUCUGUUAGCACAUUGGUAAGUAAUAACUGAUAGGUAUCUCUAGUCGAGCCAGAUAUUGCUUUUGUUCUAUAUGCAGUCAAUUUCUCUACCUGAUCACUAGUUUAUACUAUAUUGCACAAGAUGAAAGUCACAUGACUAGGUUCAUAAAUAAACGAUAUUUCCAGGUUACAUAAAUUUGUAAUUUUGUAUGGCAUUAUUAUAUACUCCUUUCGUUCACAAAUAUAAGAUGUUCUAACUUUUUUGUGACUCGGAUGUAUAUAAACAUGUUUUAGUGUGUUUGUUCAUUCAUUUCAUUCCGUAUGUAGUACAUACUGAAAUAUCUAAAACAUCUUUUAUAUUUGUGAACGGUGGGAGUACUUGUUAACUCUUGACAGUAACAAAAAUAGCGGUCAAUGGCUCAUCUUUUCUGACUUCUAAUGCCAUGCAAAGUUUAAAACGGCAUCCAUUUUGGGCUGAAAGAAAUGUUGUUUUAUGAGUUGACAACGUAGUAUCUGCUGAUACUAGUUCUUGUGAGUAAUUCCAGUAUGCUUAUAACUAAGCUGAAUGUUUUUACUUUCUAUUAUUUUGCGCAAUGCAUGAUAUUUACAUUAUAUUGCACAUACCUUGAUGUUCUAGAGAGUUAAGUAUUUGCCCGUCCUGCAUUAAAGCACCAUGUAACCGAUUGGAUUGUUGUUUAUACAGGUAUGGCUAAGUUGGAGGAAUGGCUUAUCGGUGUAGGUUCUUCUAUUUUGUGUUUUCUGGUGUUGUGGCCAGUGAUGGUCCAUUCCAUCUGGAAAUUGAUCCGUUGUAGUACGCUUGCAUGAACAAACUGUUUUAACUUGUUAGCUCCCACUAUAUAUUUCUUCAGUGACCUCUGUAGACAGUAAGAAAAUUGGCAGUUCGGCACGGUGGGUGUGUGCCUUGUAGUUGAGUAAGACUUUCAGUGGUUCAUCUGCUUAUUUAUUUCGAGUCAUUCGCCAUUUCGCCAAGCCCAAGCAGGCUCACCUCUCAGUUUGACGGCUUGGUGCUCAACCAGUCUCCAGUGGGUUGCUCAUGCUGGAAACGACCUAAUUCCGAGGCUAGUUUCUCCCUCUGCCUACCAAGUAGCAAUAAGCAACUAGGAGCGACCGCAGCUGCGCCCGUCACUGGUAAAGCUGUGCGUGCAAUCAGCGCGUGCUGGAACCGGCGUUGACGAAAGCUGCGACCACGGCCACCAAGUGCUGGAGCCUGCUUCAAUGAAUGUUGCGAUCGUGGCCAAGCUAGCUUUGACGAAUGCUGCGACCAUGACCACCAAGUGCUGGAACCGGCUAGCUGAUGUGCUACAUCCCAGAAAAUGGUUGCAACUGCCAGUCGCAGCUUUCCCUGUCGACAGUCGCAACUACCCUUCCUGCCGGUCACAGCUUCUGUGGUCGCUGGUUGUAGCUGUCACAUUCACCGGUCGUAGCUUCUGUAUGCGCCGGUUGCAGCUUUCCUAGCCGUCAGUUGCAGCUUUUGAGAGCGCCGGUCACAGUCGUCGUCUUCACCGACUGCAGCUUCUGUGGGUGCUCGUCGCAACUCCGGUGGUGGCGGGUUGCGGCCGCGACCACCACUUGUGCCAAGAUGUGGCGCCUUGGCUUACAAAUAUCGGCAAAUAGCUUGCAACUCUGACGCCCCCCGAGGACAUAACAGGGAAGAUGGAGGCGGGCACGAUGGCGACCUCACGAGGUUGGCGAUUCCUCGCUGGCAGCAGCCCCACGGCCUGGCUUGCAGCACAUAAGAGGGUACGAUGUUGUCGCCUCUGGCCUCCUUGUUGCCAAAAACUGGUGUGACUAUGACGGGAGAGGCAGACACCGGCGGCCUGUAGCGAGUGGAAGAACAAAAUCAUGUGCGAGGUACAAUCAUGGAGGUAGGCCAUUAAAAAAAAGAGAGAAUGAAGAUGUUUUUUUUUGCGAAUAGAGAAGACGUGUGGAUCAAGAUAAGUGACGCAAUAGGAAGCGAUGGAUCAUACAUCAAUCGAGACCGGCUGAUUCCGUAUCUGCCGGUCGAUCGCAGCUUUCCCAGCCGUUGGUCGCCCGACUGGAAACAUUUACCUUAAAAAUGUUAUCAUUGAAAACUUUGUUUAAAUAGAAUCAGAUGAUAUAUUUCUUAUAAAAAAUAGUAGUAACAUAUUACAUUAGUUGGUUAUAAAUUAACCGUCGAACUCGAGUUCUAAUCUGAGUGACGUGUGGAAAGGUGUAUGAUUAUACGGUACGCAGGUUCCCUUCAGCCGCCGCCUACCCUAAAAAGUUAGGGUUUUUCUACCUCCCGCCGGCGCCUUCGUCGGUCUGACUCGUCUCCUGUGGCCUUAGGGCCAUUGGGGCGGAGUGGAUCCCGGCCUUUGCCAGUGGGAGGGUUUCGUUUUAGAUAUUUCUUCGAGUUUUGUUAGGGUUUGUGUUCUGCUCAGGAAGGUAAGACGGCGGCAGCUCCCUGAAAAUGGAAUAAGGUUCUUCCCGCCUAGGCCCCGUCCCGGUGAUGCUUCUAGCAUCGUCGGUGGGCUUGUGGAGAUUUGUCUCCGGCAGAUCUGUCUUUGGUGGAUUUGUUCAGAUCUGGUCGUCGUUCGUGUAUGUUCUUGUGUCUUCGGUUCGGUUGGAUUAUUCUCGUCUACACUACUCUUCGUCGGCGGCGGUUUGUUGUUCUGUUGCGCUACUCCUAUGCGGCCUUAACACGACGACUUUCCGACUGUCUACUACAAGAAGUUUGCCUGACUCCUGCGAGGGAGGGGCAAUAACAGCGGGGCGUCUUCGGCUCGCUUCAGUGUCUGUAGUCGUCGCUAGAUGGUCUACGAAUUUAAAUAUAAUUUUUAUUACUUUUAGUGUCCGUUGUACUAUUAUGAUUGAAAAUGAAUAGAUCGAAAGUUUUUUUAAAGAUAUAUGAUUAAAAAAGAAAUCACCGGUGCGUGCGUGUGUGUUAUGUGCUGCAAGGAGAGAAGGAAAUGAACUUGCUGUUUUUUUUUUGAAAAAAAAAUGAACUUGCUGUUGACUAGUUGACCUGUGCGCGUUCCCCAAAUCAAUCGCCAUCCCCCCGCCGCCGACCAAAUCAUCUCCAGCCGCUUUUUCGGCGUCGGCGCCAAAAAACGCCCCAGUCGCGGCCCCAGGACGCCGAAAAUAGCCGGUUCGGUCCUUUUUUCCGCCCGGCGGUCACAGGCCGAACCCGGCGCACUGGGGGGCAAUUGGGGGCUCCGGCGCAAGGGAAAAGCGCGGCUGGCCCACACCGUCAGGGGAAAAGUCAAGGUUUUCUUCCCCGACUCGCCUCCCACCCACGCGCCCUCGACCGCCACUAGCUAUAUCCCGGCGCCGCCCGCCGCCCUUCACCGCUAGAUAGCCAUUCCCCGCCGGAAAAAUAGCAGAGCUUCGCCGCGACAGCCCCUCCAACAGCAGCUGGGCGUUUCCGGCCGCGGAGGGGCAGUUUAGCGGCGGGUACACACCCACCGGGCGCAAGGUGUUCGGCGAUUUGCCUGCCUCGGCGAUGGACUCGGAUGACGAGGAAGCGCUCGCCGCGCUGCUGGAGGAGGAAGCCGAGGCCGACGUCCAGGAAGAGCAUCUCAUGGUGCUCGCCGCCCUCGCCCAGCUGCUGGCGAGCAAUGAAAAGCCGCGGCGACGUGGGUCGGCGCCGGGGCGGGUGAAAGCAAAGAACCGGCAUCGUCUCGAAGGCUACUGCAUGCUCUACUCCGACUACUUCGCCGAUGCUCCACUUCACGGCGAGAAAACAUUUCGGCGCCGUUAUCGGAUGAGCCGAAAGCUCUUCCUCAGGAUUGUGAAUUCCAUCCGGGAGUUCGACAACUACUUCAAGUGCAAGAUGGAUUGCACCGGCGCCCUUGGAUUCACCUCCAUCCAGAAGUGCACGACAGCGAUGAGGAUGCUUGCAUACGGAGUUCCCGGUGAUUCACUCGACGACUAUGGGCGCAUGGCCGAGUCCACCAGCAUAGAGUAUUUCUACAAGUUCUGUCGGGCAAUGGUGACAGUGUUUGGACCGCAAUACUUGAGAACACCCAAUGCGGAAGACACUGCUCGAUCCUAGCACAGAAUACAGCAAGAGGAUUUCCUGGGAUGCUUGGAAGCAUCGACUGCAUGCAUUGGAAAUGGAAGAAUUGCCCAUUUGCUUGGCAGGGGAUGUACAAAGGCGCCAAAGGCGGUUGCAGUGUGGUACUUGAGGCGGUGGCCACACAGGACCUCUGGAUUUGGCACUCCUUCUUUGGUAUGCCAGGAACUCACAAUGACAUCAACGUGCUGCAGUGCUCUCUUGUCUUUGCCAAGCUUGUUGAAGGUCAUUCUCCUCCGGUGAACUUCGAGAUCAAUGGGCGGCACUACAACAAGGGGUACUAUCUAGCUGAUGGCAUCUAUCCGAGAUGGUCGACAUUUGUGAAGACGAUCUCAAACCCUGUGGCAGGAGGCAAGAACGCCUGGUUUGCGAAGAUUCAGGAGGCUUGCAGGAAGGAUGUCGAGCGGGCAUUUGGUGUGCUCCAAUCUCGAUUUGCUGUUGUCCGGUACCCCGCUCAGACCUGGUCCAAAGAUCAAAUAUGGGAGAUUAUGACUUGCUGUGUCAUCUUGCACAACAUGAUCAUCGCGAGCGAGCAAGAAGACCCAGUGUUUGACACUGAACCAUACUACAUGCAGGGUCCUCUAGCCGAAGUUGAUCACCAGCUACCGGCAACCUGGACUGCCUAUCUCAGUAUGCGUCAGGAGAUCCGAGACCCACAGGUGCAUCAUCAACUGCAGAAAGAUCUGAUUGAGCACCUAUGGAGGCUCAAGGGGACGCCGUGUGAUGAAAUAUGAGUUCUUAUUUGUUGAACUAUAUAAUUUGUAUUGAACUAUGUGUUGUUGUACUAUUUUAUUGAAGUAUUUGAUUUUUCUGUGAUGAAAUAUGUGAUAAGAAAAAAUUAUGUUGAUAAUUGAACGCCGAGACACGGCGAACCGAAUAUGGGCCUAUUCUCGCCCAUAUAGGCCCUUUAUUCGCCGAAAUGGGGCUGAAAAAUGGGCCAAUUUCAACGCCUGAGGGCGAGCUGGGGCGACGACUGGACGCAAAACCGCCCACAGCGCCGAUUAUAUCGCCGGCUCAUCCCCAGGUGCGAUUUUUAUGCGUCGGGGGCAACGGCUGGAGAUGCUCUAAGACUACUGAGAGGAGCCGCACUGGUAAGCCCUAGCAUGAGCACUAGAGGGGAGAUGUCUCCCCGCCGCCGGAGCACCUCUCCGCCGCCGCCCGCCUCUCUCCCAGACGACAUGCUCGGGGAGAUCCUCCUCCGCCUCCCGCCGCGGCCGUCCUCCCUCCCCCGGGCCUCCCUCGUCUCCAAGCGCUGGUACAGCCUCGUCGCCGAUCCCCAAUUCCAACGCCGCUUCCGCGACCACCACGGCAAGCCCCCUCUCCUUGGCUUCUUCCUCCAGGAAUCUCCGUCCUCUGCGUUUGUUCCAAUACUGGAUCGACCAGAUCGCAUCCCCCGCGGUCGCUUCUCCAUGCCUCUCAGCGAGGGUACCCACAUCGUCGACUGCCGCCACGGACUUGUCCUUUCGCUCAGCCGAAGCCCGCCGCACCGCCUACUUGUGUGGGACCCCGUCGCCCGCGAGCAGCGCCGGCUCGUCUUUCCGCCAGAGCUGGACAACGACCAGAUGCUCCGCUUCAACGGCGCGGUGCUUCGCCCUGCCCGCAGCCAAGGGAGCCAUUUCCAGGUGGCCCUGAUAGCUCAUUAUAAAGUUGGUAAUCCUUGUACAAGAGUUUUCGCAUGCCUUUACUCAUCGGAGACCGGGAUAUGGAGCAAAAUCAACUCACUGCAGCUGCAAUCGUCUAUAUCUCUGUUAGGACCAGGACCCAGUACUUUGAUUGGGAAUUCCCUUUGCUGGUUACUUUGGGAGCCUUCUGACAAUUAUGUCAUACUUGAGUUUGAUCUGGAUACGCAGAGCCUAACUGAGACAGAGCUGCCACCACAAGUAGAAGCUCCCCUUUUGAAGUUAAGGAUUGUGCCGACCGAAGAUGGUGGGCUUGGCUUCAUCCAUCUCUCAGGAUUACACGGCCAAUUAUGGAAGAGAGAGCCUGGUUCUGUAUGGGUGCUCGACAGAGCUAUUGAAUUCGAGGAGCUCAGAUCCGUUUGUAAGGGAGACCGAUACCCCCGGGUAGUGGGAUUUUCCGAGGACAGUAAUGCAAUCCUUCUACAGACGAAUUCUGGUGUUUUCAUGGUCUAUCUCCGGUCCAUGGAGUUUAAGAAAAUUUCCAAUAUGGGGGUCAUCCGUCUCCGAUGUCCAUUUGCAUGCUUCUAUCCUGCAGGUAAUAGCCAGCCUUUAUAUAUUUCAGUUCGCAGUAUUAUAAGAUAAAUUUAUUUUUAGUAAUUAGUUGCUGAAAUGUCUACCAUAUCCUACAUUGUUACGCUCAUGAUUGAAGUUCAAACCACAUCAAUUUUACCUUUUGCUGCUUCACAAAUUCUUUGAAAGAAAAUACUCCCUCCAUCCCAGAAAGAUUGUCCUAGAUUUUUCUAGAUACGGAUGUAUCUAGAGACGUUUUAGUGUUAGAUACACCCGUAUCUAGAUAAAUCAAGACAAGCUUUCUGGGACGGAGGUAAUAGUACUUAAGGUCACUGUUCUACCCUGUUGGUCAUAUGUAUAAAUUGUGUUUCAAAUGUAGUCUUAUGUGCCUAUCCAAAGUAUAUGUCUUUUCAUUUCAGCACUGGAUGCAUAACACUUGGAAAUCGACACAAUAGCUAUUGUAGCUUGUGGAAGAGCCCUGCUGUGAUUAGCUAGUUCACAUGUCCAACUGGAAAAUAAAUAAACAGGCCGAACCUAUUAUUUUUCUUGUCAGGGUUUUAGUUUUGGCGUGUCUUGAUUUUUUUCGCUUGGUCUGACAAGGAAUUGAGUUGACUAAAUAUGAUUUCUAGAAAGUAUAUUUUCUCCUGUGUGAAUUGUGUUAUGGUAAUAUUCAGUACUGGACGCGGUUCUCUUGGCAAUGUGACACAUAACAGCUAAACAUGGGAAUUUAGACUGAACCAGUUGAAUGUGUAACUCCAUUGGCACAUUUUGAAGCUAAAAGCUACUCAGUUACACUCUUCAUUUGGAAGCUGAAACCAAUCCAUUUGCACUAGAGAAUAAAUAAUUUCCUUCAUGUCUCAUAUAUGUUUACCUCAGAUCACAUAACUACACACCUCUUAGUUCACCUAGAUAUCCCACUACGAUUCUCUCCUCUAUCGAUGGUUUUCCAUCAGGAUUGUCGUUGGUUCCUGACCUAAUGUGCUUGUAGGUACUGGCAUUGGUGAUGUGCAUGGUGGAGAUGACGUGUUAGAAUAUGUGAAAUGGUUGUUUGUUGAGACAUGCUAGUACGAUGUGAUGACUGAAGGUGACGUAGCAUUAUCUAUGCUAUUUUACAAUUUACUGGUUAUUUCUGCAUGGGCUUUGACUGACGAUUUUUCUUAUGAAAUUAUUAACUCCAGUAAUUGAAAGCUAUAUACACCAGAAACUAAAUAUUUAGAAUUCUACAGUUAGUACAGUUUCUGUUAACACACACUGAUAAGUAUCUCUAGUCGAGCCAAAUGUUUGCUUUUGUUCUAUAUGCAGUCAAUUUCUCAACUUUAUCACUAGUUUAUACUCCCUCCUUCCCAAAACAAGUGUCUCAAUGUUAGUACAACUUUGUACUAAAGUAAGUACAAAGUUGAGACAUUUAUUUUAGGAUGGAGGGAGUACUAUAUUGCACAAGAUGAAAGUCACACGACUAGGUUCAUAAAUACAAGAUAUUUCCAGGUCACAUGACUUGUUAACUCUCGACAGUAAUAAAAAUAGUGGUCAAAGGCUCAUCUUUUCUGACCUCUAAUGCCAUUCAAAGUUUAAAAUGGCAUUCAUUUUGGGCUGAAAGAAAUGUUGUUUUAUGAGUUGAUAAAGUGUCUGCUAAUAGUAGUUCUUCCGUGAGUUGUUCUACUUUGUAUAACAAGCAUACCAUGCUUAUAAUUAAGCUGAAUGUUUUUUUAACUUUCUGUUGUUUUUCCAUUUAUUUCCCCAGUGAUAUUUAGUCAGUUGAGUAUUUACCUGUCGUGCAUUAAAGCAAAAUGUAACUGAUCGGAUUGUUGUUAUGUAGGUAUGGCUAAGUUGGAGGAAUGGCUUAUCGGUGUAGGUUAUUCUAUUUCGUGUUUUCUGGUGUUGUGGCCAGUGAUGGUCCAUUCCAUCUGAAAACUGAUCCGUUGUAGUAUGUACUUAUCAUGAAGUGUGAAGUACACUUGCAUGAACGAACUGUUUAACUUGUUAGCUGCCACUAUAUAUUUCUUCAGUGGCCUCUGUAGGUAGUGAAAAAAUUGGCAGUUCGGCAUGGUGGGGUCUGUGCCUUGUAGUGGAUUAAGACUUUCAGUGGCUCAUCUGCUUAUUUAUUUUGAGUGCAUUCAGCAGCCAAGCAGCCUCACCUCUUAGUUUGACGGGUUGGUGUUCAACCAGUCUCCAGUAGGUCGCUCAUGCUGGAAACAACAGAAUUCAGAGCCUAGUUUCUCUCUGUGCCUAGCAACUACUCCAGUCCAGCAAUGAUGGUCAUUUCCCGGCUUCCAUUGUAGACCUGAUCUGGUUGCCUUAUGCGUGUAAGUGAUCUGAUCUAGUUUAUCUUGCGCUUCUGUCCGUCAUAGUUAGCAGGGAUGCGGAACAGCAUGAUGAUCUGCUGCUGCUGCUGCUGCUGCUGCUAUUGGGGCUGUAGAAUUCUACAAGGUGAAACACUGAUACCACAAGUUUCGCUUUUGUAGUACCUUGUGCAAGUGAAUCAGGUUGAGUGUCUUGGUUGUCGAGUUGGUGGUUCCUGAACAACUACUGAUGGAACUCAAGGUGUAGUUUAGACGAGUUGAGCCAGACCAAAGCAGUGUGCCCUCCCUAAAUUGUUUUGUUUCCGUGCUGAACUGGAGAAAUUGUUUCAAUGGGUCUGACUAUAUCUCAUCUAAGUACGACACCACCAACUAUUUGUGGCAUGUUUGUUUGUUUCUGUCACGUUCCGUAGUCCAGCCCAUCACUCGCUCACGAUUCCUGCUUGGGCUGCUCCAAGAAAAACAAUGAUCGUGAAAAACAACGAUCGGUUGUAACUUGUAUCACAGUAACCUUAAGAAAAGCAGUUACACCAAUUGACACUGACAUAUGUAGCAGAUAAGCAGUUACACUGACUCCAUCAGAAAUAGGAAAUAAAGUGUUCUAUGUACUUUCGAAGAACACCAUCAGUAUGAGCAAUGCUUGUGUAGAAAACAAAAGGGCAGAUUCUCAACGGUUAGAAGUGGUUUGCAUUCACCACUAAUCUAUUAUCAUGCAUAACUGUUGCAGAUACUCAAACAAGACCAAGUGAAAACUCCAUCUACGGACGUAUCAAUGACAGAUUCUCGAUAUCAUUCAAGGACAUGAGCAAGAAAUGAGAGCCUAAAUGCCAGGAACAAACAAAAACAUCGCAUAGCAUUAGUGCUCAACCAUAAUCAAACCUAUUACAAAAAUCAAAGAAGCACAUGCAUUAAAGAAAUAGAGUUGCUCAUACUGACAUGAAAAAAUGGGACAACAAGAAUCUAGACUGAAAAAGAAUCCAAAACCCAUUCCUACCUACCAGCCACAAGCAUUAGCUCAAUGGGAGAACAUGGGGUAUGGCAUUUUGGAUCCCAGCCUCCAUGGAGGCCGAAUUUUUGAAAAAAAAAUCAAAAAUUUUGGUUUCAAAAAUAUCUGGAAAAAAAUCGCUAAGUAAACAAGGAUGUGAGGUGUAUGUGUGUAAAAUUUUAGGAUGAAAUACAUUGAAAUGCGACCUGUACAAAAAAGAUAAAUUUGUGGUCUGGAAGGAUGAAUAGUAUCAUGUGUUAAAAAGCCUCAGAUUUUUUUUUUUGCACAGCCCACAUUUCAACGUACUUUGUCCUGAAAUUUACAAACUUGUGCAUUAUGCCUUCAUGUAUGUCUGUAUUCUUCAGAAUUUUUGAAAUGUAAAAUUAUGAAUUUUCAUGAGUUUUGAAUUUUGCAUUUGGAGGCCUCCAUGGAGCUCGGCCUCCAAAAGCAAUUUCUGACACGAACCUANNNNNNNNNNNNNNNNNNNNNNNNNNNNNNNNNNNNNNNNNNNNNNNNNNNNNNNNNNNNNNNNNNNNNNNNNNNNNNNNNNNNNNNNNNNNNNNNNNNNNNNNNNNNNNNNNNNNNNNNNNNNNNNNNNNNNNNNNNNNNNNNNNNNNNNNNNNNNNNNNNNNNNNNNNNNNNNNNNNNNNNNNNNNNNNNNNNNNNNNNNNNNNNNNNNNNNNNNNNNNNNNNNNNNNNNNNNNNNNNNNNNNNNNNNNNNNNNNNNNNNNNNNNNNNNNNNNNNNNNNNNNNNNNNNNNNNNNNNNNNNNNNNNNNNNNNNNNNNNNNNNNNNNNNNNNNNNNNNNNNNNNNNNNNNNNNNNNNNNNNNNNNNNNNNNNNNNNNNNNNNNNNNNNNNNNNNNNNNNNNNNNNNNNNNNNNNNNNNNNNNNNNNNNNNNNNNNNNNNNNNNNNNNNNNNNNNNNNNNNNNNNNNNNNNNNNNNNNNNNNNNNNNNNNNNNNNNNNNNNNNNNNNNNNNNNNNNNNNNNNNNNNNNNNNNNNNNNNNNNAAAAGAAGCCCCACUGAUGCACACUGGCAAACCUAGCAACCCAAAUAUUACCAACCCCACGAAAUCUCUGUUUGAUUUCGACAGAAAAACACUAGAACAAAAUCAACUUAUUGCUAAAAACAGGAACGGAUCACCAACCCCAUGAAGUCUUUUUUUCGAUUUGGACAGACAAACACACUAGAUCAAAAUCAACUUAUUGCUGAAAAAAAAGGAACGGAAUCCUAUCAUCUAACUGAACAUCUAGACAUGAAAUAUAUCCCCCCUCCCCACCCACCACUACCAUCUUGAAAAUCCCCCUCGCAUUUGUACACAUAAAUCUCUCGUUUUGGGCAAACCCUAGAUCGAUGACAGUACACACAAGAAUCAAACAAGCAUGGGGAAAAGGGGACGGGCAAAAACCUGUUGCGGCUCUCUCCUAGCCGUCUUCGGUCACGAGAAUCGUCACCGCCUGAAGGGAUCACUGUCCAGGAGAGGAAAGGCGAGCGCGGUGACGAAAUGCUGAGGGAAUGGAACAACUCUUGAACGAUACACUCACUUAGGCUUUUUUAGAAACAUACACUCACUUAGCUGAGCGGUGAAAACGCUCACUCUGGACAAACAAAAAACGACCCGCCAGCCCAAUAACGUGAAAAAUAAAGAAGAUAACAGCCCGUCCUAACUCGUGAGAGCAUCUCCAAUAGACGGUCCAAAUAUAAAAAUACCUAAUUUUUGGACCGUCUGGAGCAAAAAACGCUGCUCCAACAGGCAGUCUAUAUGUAAAAAAAAUUAGACCGCGGCCUCCUCGUGAUGUAAAAUACAACACCUCGCCGUGCAAAUUUACAUCACGAGAUGCAUCUGGUCCAAAUUCGGCGACUGCCCGCCAACGCCCAACCGCCACUUCAUUUCAUUUCACAGUCGCGCUUGUCCGCCCGCCCGAACACCAGUCGGCCGGAAUCCGCCGCCGCCACCGCCCAAAUCCCCGCCGCCGUCGCCGCCACCGCCCCAAAUCGCCGCGCCGCCCUCGCCCCCGUCGCCUCCCUCGCCGGAAGCCGUCUCGCGGCCGCCCGGGCGCCGCCGAAUCGGGAGGCAGCCGCGGUGGGAUUCGGCGCCUCCGGCGGUCUGGCUGCCCAUGUAGGCCUCCGCCGNNNNNNNNNNNNNNNNNNNNNNNNNNNNNNNNNNNNNNNNNNNNNNNNNNNNNNNNNNNNNNNNNNNNNNNNNNNNNNNNNNNNNNNNNNNNNNNNNNNNNNNNNNNNNNNNNNNNNNNNNNNNNNNNNNNNNNNNNNNNNNNNNNNNNNNNNNNNNNNNNNNNNNNNNNNNNNNNNNNNNNNNNNNNNNNNNNNNNNNNNNNNNNNNNNNNNNNNNNNNNNNNNNNNNNNNNNNNNNNNNNNNNNNNNNNNNNNNNNNNNNNNNNNNNNNNNNNNNNNNNNNNNNNNNNNNNNNNNNNNNNNNNNNNNNNNNNNNNNNNNNNNNNNNNNNNNNNNNNNNNNNNNNNNNNNNNNNNNNNNNNNNNNNNNNNNNNNNNNNNNNNNNNNNNNNNNNNNNNNNNNNNNNNNNNNNNNNNNNNNNNNNNNNNNNNNNNNNNNNNNNNNNNNNNNNNNNNNNNNNNNNNNNNNNNNNNNNNNNNNNNNNNNNNNNNNNNNNNNNNNNNNNNNNNNNNNNNNNNNNNNNNNNNNNNNNNNNNNNNNNNNNNNNNNNNNNNNNNNNNNNNNNNNNNNNNNNNNNNNNNNCCGCUGCUCGCUGGCCCGCCCCGUUGCCACCGCCUCCCGGCCCCGCCGCCGCCCCGCACUGACCCUGUCCAGCCGAGAUGCUGUCGCUGCUGGCCCGUGCAGCGUGCCUGUGCCGCUGCUCGUGGUGUUCGCAUCAGCUGCCGCCCGCCUCCGUCGCUGCUGGCCGGCAAAGGAGCACGUACAGGGGAGCUCGGGCUCCGGCCAUGGCGACCACGGACGAGCACGGGAGCGGUGGCAAACGACACUGAUCGAAGGGGAAAAAUAGGGGAAUUGGGAGAGGAGCUCAUCACGGGGAGGAUGGCGCGCUCGGGGAGAGCUUGAUGGCGACGGAUUUGACGAAGGCGGCCGACGUCCCGAGGUUGAAGAAGACGAUCAAGGCGAUUUUACAUCUUCAUUUUGGACCAUCUGUUGGAGUUGUUCUUUUGGACCAUCAAUUUGGACCAUCUGUUGCAGUUGAGCUUUUUUCGAAGCUGCAAAACGCACUUUUUGGCGGUCCAAAUUUUACAUCUCCGGUUUUGGACCGCCAAAUUUUGGACCAUCUAUUGGAGAUGCUCUAAGGAGUUUGUACACGGCCCGCUGCACGUGACAACGAGGCGCGAGCGAACAAAACAAUUGCGUGAAUCUUGAAGUCAAUAUAAGGAUCCAAUGGUCCAGAACUUAGAGCAUCUAUAACUGGACUUUGUCUCAAAAACAAAAAAAAUCUAUAACUGGACUUUGCAAAUCCGGCCCUCAAACGCCUGCGGACGCGCAUGGGUGUGUCCGCGGACACUGACCAGUCAAACCUUAAAUUUGUGUUCUCACAAUCGGAAUCUCAAAUCCAUACAAACUCAUGCAACUACGUCGAUGCACUACACAUAUCAUCUGGCUACACCAUCACUACUAACUGCCAUCGGGCUACCAAAAUUUGGCAUAUUUGGCUACGAUGGUGAUCAUCCACGGCUACCCUUUCUCUUCCCGGCACCCUUGCUUUCCUUCUCGCGGAAGUGCCGGUCGAAGACGCAGUAGGGAUCAAGCCGGAUCUGCUCCUCGCCGCCGCCGUCCUCCUUCUCCCCCUUCAGUGGCAGUUCGGCCAUGCCACGGACCGCCCGAUUCUGCUCUUGGGCGAGGGCGCGCCUGUUCCUCUGUUGUCGUUUCUUCACAAUGCGGGCACAGAUGGCUUCCUCCUCUACGACCGACUGCGCCGCCGCAUCCACUGCUGUCAUUUCCGCCGCGAUACGGGCCUCGGCGACCCUUGUACUCUCGUUCCCAUGGCGGGCACACCGGUCUCGGUGGGACUCAUAGCCCGCCUUACUGGUGAUGGGGAAGGAGAGAUUUUCUGGCUACCGGGACCACGGUGAUCCAGCCCUAGAAGAUCCAAGCGUCCGCUGAGCUGACGCUAUGGACUCGCGCCGGGCGCUGUCCUCCUAGGAGCGACGAGUGCAAUGCGAACCGCCAUUGCCUCCUCCAAGUCGCACGGGAUGACACCCCAUUCGACGAAUCUGGACUGGUUGGAGUCAAAUCCGCUGCCCACCAUGCCGGAAAUUGUCGGAGGUGAGUUUGGGUGGUGGAGGGAGUGAAGGGGAGUGGAGUGUGAAGUAGCUAGGGUUUGGUCCGGCGAGCGGAUGAAGAGGAAUAUAUAGGGCGUCGGGUAGGCCCGCCUGGGCCGGGUCCGACGUGGCGGACACGCCCGGGCGUUUCCGGCCCGUUUGAGAUGUCCGUCUUGAUCAAAAUUUAGUGACCGGAUGCGGAGGUCCUAUUGCGCGCCUUCAGCGCCGUGCAGGCUAACCAGCGCCCGCAGCAGCGGCUGGAUGGGCCGGCCCACAAUCGCGCAGCGCAAAAGGGACGGUCGAAAAAGAACUCUCGAUCGGGAUCGAUCUCGCGCCCUUGCGCUUGCAACGAGCAGCUAAAUUCUGGUGGUCCACUCAAAAAAAGAAAAAACUAAAUUCUGGUGGUUCUUUGCGGCGCGAAAGUUUUAAAGAAUAGAAACGUAGACGCACUAUUAAUUUCACAUUAUAUUGUAGUAUUAGAUUUUCUAAUUAUUUGAAAACAUGUGCACAUAUUACAAAUGAAGUUUCCUGCACAUAUUACGAAUAAGGUUCGUGCACACGCAAAAAAAGUUCGCGUAUUAAAAAAAUAGUUCACCAAAUAGAAAAAGUUCAUGUAUUAAAAAAAGUUCACAACGAUGAUAUCAUGGUGCUAGUUGUGAUGUCUUUGAUGGUUGUGUGGUAGGAGUUCAUUUAUAUACAAUAAGACCAUAUCUAGCCAUGUGCUAUGCUUUCAAGCGAAUAUCUUAUUGGUAUAUUUAUUCUUCCUUUUGGAUAUCUUGUUCCUUCAUGUUGUAGCUAUUUCGUGUGUACAUCCUUCUUUAUGGAUUGAUAUCAUCUUGAUUUUCAUCCACCUAGAACCUUAUACACUUGAGAGAAAUUAUAUCUCUAGUUGAUAUCCCUUUCUUUCACGUCCACCGUUUUCUUUCUUGUGUUAUUUCUUUGGUGGCUCCGUGAAAGCUUUUUCCUUGAGUGCUUGUCUUAUCUUGUUGCAUCUUGAUGCACUCUUGUGUGGUGAAGAUUAUUUUCCUCAUGCUUGUCUUUACGAGGCUUUUGCCAUCUUAAUUGGUAUCCCUCGUUUUGAUGAGGCUUUCAUCUUCUAUCUUCACCAUGGGUUGUCGCAAGCCUUGUUGUUAAUUCACAUUUUAGUGAGCUUGUGAACCCAUUUGCUUGUUGGGUGUGUGUGGGGAGGACAUGUCAUGCAUCGUGUAUCUCAUUUAUCAAAGACUAUGUUGAUGCUUAAUGCUCAUCCUUAUAUUAGUCUUCUCAAGUGCUUUGCCAUGACUCACACACAUCUUUUUGGUUGAGCCUUUUCUUAAGUUGCCUCGUUUACAUGUUGCUCAACCAUGUGUUUGUUGCAAGUUCUAGGCUUUGUUUCCUUUAUGCUCACUUGCACUUGUUGUGAGUCUUUAUUGAUUUUGGGGAAGCUAUGAUCCUAUUUUGUGCACUUUGUAUCCAAAUACAACAAUUCCUAUUUGUGCACAAAUCAUGGGGAGCUUUUCCAGUUUCUUUAGAACACUCCUUUGCUCAUAUCAUAAUAUCCUUCAUUCAUGUGGCUCAUAGGAUCUUUGGUCUAGUUGGUUCAAUUGAUAUCCUUUGAUUGCUUGCUUCAAUUGGUAUCUUUUGAUUGCUUGAUUGCUUGUCUCUCUUUGUUAUGUCUUUGUGGCAAUCUUAGUGCCUCAAUAUAGUUUGUGUUCCUCCAAGUAUUUACCUUUGGAUAUGUGUAUUGCAUUCCACUCUCUUGUUGAGAAAUACACAAUUUAUGAAGGACCACAAUUUAUAUUGGCCUUCUAAGCUUUUCGCCCAUUUUGGCAAUCGAUGCCAAUGGGGGAGAAGUUUCAGAAGAGAGUUUUGUGGAGAAGUUCAGAGAGUUAUUUCUUCUUGCUUUAGUUUUUAUCUCCUUAGCAUUUGCAUCUCAUAUGCAUGCAUUAUUGGUUGUUGCAUUGCAUGGUGAUGCAUAAUUCCUUAUAUAAACUCUCUUGAAAGUGAUUGUCAUCAAUUACCAAAAUGGGGGAGAUUGAAAGAACAUGCGAUGCCCCCAUGUUUGGUUUUGGUAAUUGAUGAAAUCUCUAUGGACUAAUGACUGCCUUGAGUUAUAUUUGAAGGAUUUCUCCAUAGGUUUUUCUUGAAGUCCAUUUGUUGGUUUCAAGGAGUUUAUGAGUUGACCAUGGUGCUAUUAAGGAAUUAUCCAAAGAUUGGUCAUGUGAGUGUUGAGCUUAUUGCAAGCAUGUCUUGAAGAAGAAGAUUGUGUGAAUAUUCAUGUUUACCUUCAAGACAUCAUCUUAAUGGAGAAAGUUGGAAAGAUUCAAGGUUGAUCAAGACUAUAUACAAAGAGUGAUUCAAUUUGAUCAACUCACAAAGCGUAGAAGAUGUACCGAGAGGGAUCAAGUGAUCCCAUGGUAUGGUAAACAUUGUCCAUUACACUUUGUGUACUAACCCAUGGUCUAUGUGAGAGUUCUAUGUGGGGUUAGGUAUGUGUCCAUGGGCUUGCGUCAAGAGGAAGAUAUCAUACAACCCAUGGAGAGGACGACAUCAAGUGGUGAUCGUCUUCAAGAUUGCUGUGCGCAAGUUCAAGUGGAGCAUCACGAAAAGAUCAAGUGCUUGAAGCUUGCCGUCCAUUGUGGUGACAAUGGACUUGUGAAGAUGUGCGAAAGAGUGGCUCACCCAUAGUGGUUUAUGGGGGAGCAAUCAACUAGUCUUCAUCGAUCCAUCGCAAUCAAGAAAGGUGGUCCAACUUGAGGGAGUCAAGAUCGUCAUCAUCUAGCUCAAGUGGACUAUGUGCAAGGCAAAUGUUUGCCCUUGAUAGGUUUUCUAUUUUACCUGUCUCAUGGUGGUAGUUGGGAGACCGGGUUAUAGGAUCGAUUGCCGUACUAUCAAGGGGGGCUCUCGAUGAGUAGCUUGAUCGUAUCGUUCAUAGAGAGCUCAAACCAUUGCAUCCUUGCAUCAUCUUUAUUGGUUCUUGUUUGGUUCUUCUCCUUGUGAGUUUUGGAGCUUAUGGUCAUCUUGAUGACAAGCUCGAGUUCAUCGAAAACGGAGUUCACAUGCAUCUUCUAUAAUGUUUUCGAUGUUGGAGGUUUUGCCAGUUCUUCUCUUUUGGAGAUUUCACUCCUCUGUUUUCUCUGUUGUGUUCCUGAAAGCCUCAAGCGGUAGUACUGCUCUCUAGAGCGGUAGUACCUCUUGUAAGCGGCAGUACCACGACCCUGUGCCGCGCGUAGUACCGCUGCUUCUGGAGAUACAUUUUUUCGUGUCGGGUUUCGCGGUAGUAGAGCGGUAGUACCUCUUAUAAGCGGUAAGCGGUACUGCCUCUCCACCCGAGCGGUAUUACCUCUUAUAAGCGGUAAGCAGUACUACCUCGCCACCCAAGUGGUAGUACCUCUUAUAAGAGGUAAGCGGUACUACCUCUCCCCAGAGCGGUACUACCUCUCUGGCAGAACUACAUCUCGUGUUUUCUCUCUCGUUGGGUUGUUUUGACCGUGCUAAGCGGUAGUACCGCUCCUCCAAGCGGUAGUACCGCUUGUACACGACCUGAGCACAUAAUGGUUGGAUUCGGGAGCCCCUAUAAAAGGGGGUCUUCUUCCCCAUUCAACCUUAUCCUUUGAGCUCGUGUUCUUCCCCCAUUGUUGACGUUCUUCGAGCUUGCUAAUUCUCAAUCCCUCCAUGGAUUCUUACUAGUUUUUAAGGGAAGAGAGAGAGAAGAUCUAGAACCACAUUUCCACCAAUCACUUUCUCCUCUAUGUGAGGGGAACCCCUUGGAUCUAGAUCUUGGUGUUUUCCUUCUUAAUCUUCCUCUCAUUUUCCUCCAUAGCUUUCGUUGCUUUGGUGGGAUUUGAGAGUGAGGGACUUGGGCACUCCGUGUGCCCUUGCCAUUGCAUUUGGUGCAUCGGUUUGAGUUCUCCACGAUGGUACGUGGAAGUUACAAGUUGAGAAGCUUAUUACUCUUGGGUGCUUGGUGCCCUUGAGCUUGUUUCUCUUGGGUGCUUGGGCGCCCUAGACGGUUGGUGGUGUUCGGAGCUCAAUCAUUGUGGUGUAAAGCUUCGGGCAAGCGUCGGGGUCUCCAAUUAGGUUGUGGAGAUCACCCCGAGCAAUUUGACGGGUACCGAUGACCGCCCCAAGGGUUGCCAAAGUAUACGGGUUCGGUGACCGCCCUCAAGGGUUGCCAUUUGUACGGGUUCGGUGACCGCCCUCAAGAGUCCCUUAGUGAAAUCACGACAUCUUGCAUUGUGCGAGGGCGUGAGAAGAUUACGGUGGCCCUAAUGGCUUUUUGGGGAGCAUUGUGCCUCCACACCGCUCCAAACGGAGAUUAGCAUCCGCAAGGGUGUGAACUUCGGGAUACAUCGUCGUCUCCGCGUGCCUCGGUUAUCUCUUACCCGAGCCCUUUACUUAUGCACUUUACUUUAUGAUAGCCAUAUUGUUCUUUGUCAUAUAUCUUGGUAUCACAUAGUUGCUUAUCUUGCUUAGCAUAAGUUGUUGGUGCACAUAGGUGAGCCUAAUUGUUUUAGGUUUUGUGCUUGACAAAUUAACCGCUAGGUUUAUUCCGCAUUUGUUCAAGCCUAAACCGUAAUUAUUUUAAAGCGCCUAUUCGCCCCUCCUCUAGACGACAUCUACAAUCUUUCACCCGGGACUCCGACGACGAGCGGUUCCUUGACGCCUACGCUCAGACGUCGGAGGAGGACAUCACCGAGGCAUAGUCCGAGUCGGAGAAUGACAAGUAGUAGCAGUUUUUCAUUUUAUUUAUCUAUCAUAGGAGAAGACUAUGAACUAUCUAUGCACUAUUUUGUAUCGUAGAAGUGACGAACUAUCUCACAUUUGUACUAUCGAAACCAAAUGUGUAUCGAAUCGUAAUUUACAUAGUAGGCGUCAAGAAAAAAAAAAGAAAUAUAGCGCGCCUGCUGGAGCGGCUCGGGCGCGCUUUAUUUUGCGGCGGCCACUGGAGCCAACGCACGGCUGCGCGCACAAGCUGGCUCACCCGGCACUGUAUACUGAUUUUUAGCACGCCGCGCAUUGGGCCGCUGUUGGAGAUGGUAUAAGACGCUAAAAAACGUUUGUUAGCGUUUUACACUUUAUUUUAUUUUAUUUAUACCCUAAAAAAAGAUGUAAGAUGCUACAAAAAGGUUCCCAAAAUCAAUCCCCUCGCUUCGCUAGUACUACUCGCCGGCGGCGUGGACAACGCCAUCCUCCCCAGCCGACCAAAUCACCCACCGAGAGGAGCCCUAGCAUGAGCACGAGAGGGGAGAUGGCUCCCCGCCGCCGCAGCACCUCUCCGCCGCCCGCCUCUCUGCCAGACGACGACGACAUGCUUCGGGAGAUUCUCCUCCGCCUCCCGCCGCGGCCUUCCUCCCUCCCCCGGGCCUCCCGCGUCUGCAAGCGUUGGCGCCGCCUCGUCGCCGACCCCCGAUUCCAACGCCGCUUCCGCGACCACCACCACGGCAAGCCUCCUCUCCUCGGCUUCUUCUUCGAGGACUAUCGCUCCUGUCCGUUUGUUCCAGUGCUGGAUCGACCAGAUCGCAUCCCCCGGGAUCGCUUCUCCAUGUCUCGCCGCGAGGACAACCGCAUCGUCGACUGCCGCCACGGGCUUGUCCUUUUCCUCAGCGGAAGGCCGCCGCGCAGCCCAAGUGUGUGGGACCCCGUCGCCCGCAAGCAGCGCUGCCUGACCCUCCCACCAGAGCUGGACAACGACCGGAUGUACUUUUUCAACCGGGCGGUGCUUCGCCCUGCCCGCGGCCAAGGCCGCCGUUCAAGCCAAUUCCAGGUGGCCCUGGUAGCCUAUGACGACAGAGGAGAAGCAAGAGCUUCGGCAUGGGUUUACUCAUCGGAGACUGGCAUAUGGAGCAAGAGCAAAUCACUGCAGCUGCAAUCUUCUGUACCUAUGGACCAAUCCAGUACUUUGAUUGGGAAUUCUCUUUACUGGUUACAUACCUAUGCACCGCAUGUGCUUCAGGACCAUCGUCAGUAUUUCGUACUUGAGUUUGAUCUGAAUAAUCAGAGCCUAGCCAUGACCGAGCUGCCGGCACACAUAGAACCCGGGUAUCACACAUUGAGGAUUAUGCCCGCCGAAGAUGGUGGGCUUGGCUUCAUCCAUCUCUCACUAUUCAAUGCCCAAUUAUGGAAGAGAGAGCCUGAUUCUGAUGGUUCAGCUGUAUGGGUGCUCGACAGAGCUAUUGAAUUCGGGGAACUUGGAUCAACUUGCAAGGGUGACUCCCUCACUUUAGUUGGGUUUGCCGAGGAGAGUAAUGCAAUCCUUGUAUCGACAGCUUCUGGUGUCUUCGUGGUCUAUCUCCAGUCAAUGGAGUUUAAGAAACUUUCCAAUACGGUGUUCUUCUUUCCCCAUUAUCCAUAUGAAUGUUGCUAUGCUGCAGGUAAAAAUAUCAAUCACCAUAUUUUUUUACUUUGUAUUAUAAGAUCAAUUUAUUUUUUGUAAUUAGUUGCUGAAAUGCUUAUCAUAUACUAUGCUGAUGAUUGAAGCUCAGUUCAAAUCAUGUCAAUUUUUCCUUUUGCUGCUUGAUGAAAUCUUUAAAAGAAAAUAUUGCAUCCGUCCCAAAUUACUUGUCUUAGAUUGAUAUUGAUAUAAUCUAAGAAAGUAAUUCAGGACGGAGAGAGUAGUCCUUAAGGUUGCUGUUCUUUUCUGUUGGUCAUAUGCAUAAAUUGUGUUUCGAAUGUAGUCUUAUGUGCUUAUCUGAAAUAUAUAUCUUUUCAGCACCGAUAACAGUUGGAAAUCAAUGCUAUGGUUUUUGUCACCUGUGGAAGGGCCAUGCUGUGAUUAGCUAGUUCAGAUGUACAACUGGAGAAAAAAUUGGCCGUACCUAUUAUAUGUUUCUUGUGGGGCUUUUAGUUCUGCCAUGUCUUAAUUUGCUCCGCUUCGUCUGACAAGGAAUCGUGUUUACUAAAGAUGAUUUCUAGAAAGUAUCUUUUCUUGUGCGUGAAUUGUGUUAUGAUAAUAUUCAGUGCUGGUCUGCAGUUCUCUUGAUAAUGUGACACAUAACAGUUAAAAAAGAAUAUCUUCCUGAAGUGAGUCCAUUUGCACUAGAGAAUAAAUUAUUUUCUGCAUGUCUCAUGUAAUUUUUCUCAGAUUACAUAACUAGACAACUUUCAGUUCACCUAGAUAUUCCAUUAUAUUGCUCUUUUCUAUCGAUGGUUUUCCAUCCGAAUUAUCAUUGGUUCCUGACUUAUUAUGCUCGUAGGUACUGGCAUUGUUGAUGUACAUGGCAGAGAUGAAGUGUUGAAAUAUAUGGGAGAUGCUCGUCUGUUAGCACAUGUUAGUACUUUGUGAUGACUGAAAAGGUGACAUGACUUUAUCUCCUGGACGUGUUCAUCAGGGAUAUAUGUGUCAUUUUACAAUAUAUUGCUGCAUGGGCUUUGACUGAUGAUUUUUUAUAUGAAAGUAUUAAAUCCCUUUGUAAUUGUAAGACAUCCACUACUUUGCCUAAGUAAUUGAGAACAAUAUAUACCGGAACAUAAGAAUCCUAAUCAGUACAGUUUCCGUUAUCACACUAGUAAGUUGUACUAACUUAUAAGCAUCUCUAAUCAAGUCAUAUGUUUUUUUUAAAAAUGCAGUCAAUUUCUCAACUUUAUCACUAGUGUAUAUACUGUUGACUAGGUUCAUAAAUUAAAAUAUUUCUAGGUUACAUAAAUUUGUGAAUUUAUAUGGAGGUAUUAUAUCGUUUUGUUAACUCUCGAUGGUAAUAGAAAUAGUGGUCAAAUGCUCAAAGCUCUGCUCUUCUAGUGCCCUGCAAAGGUUAAAAUGACAUCCAGUUUGGGCUGAAACAAAUGUUAUUUAUGAGUUAUAAAGUACUCCCUCAGUCCCCAAAUGUAAGACUAUUUUUGACACCAUGAUAGUGUAAGAAAUGAUCUUAUAUUUUGGGACGGAGGGAGUACCUGCCAAUACUAUACUUGUUCUUAUGUGAGUAGUUCUACUUCAGUUUAUAAGAAGUAUAUGCUAUGCUUAUAAUUAAGCUGAAUGUUUUUAUUUUCUAUUGUUUUGCCAUUUAUUUCCCCAAUGAUAUUUCACUAUUUAAGGUAUUCUUUGUGAGCUAACUGAUUGGAUUAUUGUUAUUAUGCAGGUAUGUCCAGGUUGCAGGAAUGGCUUACCCGGUGUAGGUUCUUCUGUUUUCUGGUGUUGUGGUCAGGGCCAGUGAUGGUCCACUCCAUCUGAAAAUUGAUCCAGUGUAGUAGUACUCAUCAAGUGUGAAGUACACUUGGAGGAAUGAACUGUUUAACUUGUUAGCUCCCACUCUUAUUUCAGUGACCUCUGUAGAGACAGCACGAAAAUUGGCUGUCUCUUGCUCCCUUGCACAACUUUAUUAAGACUUUGUCCCUUGUACAGGUUGAUUAAGGCUUCCAGUGGCUCGUUUGCUUGUGUAUCACUAUUUUGAGUGCAUUUGCCAAGCAAGCUCGGCUCUUGGUUGACGGGUUGGCGCUCCAUGAGUCUCACAGUAAAAUUGGUUGCUCAUGCUGGAAACAGAAAAAUCCAGACAUCUUCAUAGGAUUCUGACGCUGCCUAGCAGCUACUCCCUCCGUCCGGAAUUACUUGUCACAAAAAUGAAUGUAUCUACAACUAAAAUACAUCUAGAUACAUUCAUUUCUUGGACGAGUAAUUCCGAACGGAGGAAGUAGCAGUGUGCCCUAGGACACAAACAAGGCUUAUGAUAGUGGGAGGGGGAAUGCAUGACUUAGCGAGGGAUGGUCGGGAUGGUGGAAAGAGCGGCCGCCGGUGGCAGGAUCGGAAAACUUGGCCCAGAAGCGAUUGCCCCCAGAUCGCCAACCAGUCACUCGAUAAGGAACCUAACCGUCACUCACGGAAAGUACCCCGCUAUGUUGUAGCUAUUUAGAGCAUCUACAACCACAAGUAGCGAAAUCCGGUUCCAAACGCUCGCAAACGCGUCCGCAGACAGUGACCGGACAUCACACAAAAAUUCAUUUCCACAUCCAGAUACACCAUUUUCAAAUCAUAAAAUCCGUAUUAUGACAUGCAGCGUGAAACUAAUCUUGAGCGGAAUUCAUCCCGCUCCCCCUGUCCAUGUACGGCAGCUGGUUGCGCCCCUCUGAGUGUUGGUGCGGUCAUCAGUGAGGUAUAGUAGGACAUGGGACACACACUCGCUCACAUGACUUGAGUCGUCGUCAGUCUCCCAUGCCCUACUCUUCCUUGUCGGAGCCCGUCGCCUACAUGUCGCCGGUGGACGUAAGAUCGAUGAUGGAUCCAUCGUGGUCGGAGCCAGCCACGUCCGCCAUGACGUGGUUGCGGUGCCCGGGGUGGCCGUGCACCAUACGUGGCGCCAGAGAGUGCGACUCCGCCUCGCCAACGUUUGCCGCGAGGGCUGUCGCGGCCUCCCACGCACGUUGCCUCGCAUGACCUUCAGACGCCAGACGAACAACACCGCCUCCGGUGAGGCAGCGGCGACACGCCUCGUGCCGGAUCCAUGCGCCAUUUGGGCGGACGCAAUGGAUUCCCAGAGGAAUGAGUCCGACUUCCGCCGCCGGGCGGACUCCUCCCAAGAGCAGCGGAGCGCAAGACGGACGAUCAUCUCCUCCUCGGGGCCGCGUGGGACGAGCUUGGGGUCAACAGAUCUGGAGAUGUAGGACACGGAUCUGCUCCCGCCAUGCCGGAGAAGGUGGGAGAUCGCCGGACGGGAACUUGUGGGCGAAGGGGAGUGGAAUGCGACUGGGGUUUUGGCCGGAGUGUGGAUAGGGUCCAAUUUAUGUGGGGUCGGAUGGGCCGGAGUGGGUCGGAUCCGACGUGGCAAGCGUGUCCGUGCGUCCCCAUAACAUCUCAAAUAUGGGCUGGAUAUGAAAAGUGCUGAUCAGUUCGAGUGUUUGGCCGAAUAUGGGUGCUCGGUUGGGUGACAUUUUUCCGUCCGGGCAAUGUCCGAGACGGGCAUGGGCCCAGUUGCAGAUGCUCUUAGCCCCUUGAAGGAGUUGCUUAUGAGAGCCCAGGUGAAGAGGCGGAAGUAGACGAGGGGCGUCGUCGCCCUGUUUAAAUUAGCACCAUCUCUUAGGAGGGACCCUGUACAUACAAAUAUUCAGGUGACCAAUUAUCGACCAACAAAUAUUACUCCAAAUUCCCGGGGAGAGUAUUACGCAGAUUAUGGUUACUCUUUUUCUUUACAAUUCUCAGGAUCCGGUCCCGGCACGACGUCCGUCCAUGCCUCUCGUGCGCCGACUCGGAGCAGUCUGGACACCCGAGAGAUAAGAUAAAUCUCCUUGUCUUACCCGCCAGCAGACCCCCUCACGGUCAGGCAGGCACCAUGAUGCACAACACGAUCCAGCGGGAGAUCCAGAGGGAGAACCGGCGGUGGCUCCUGCUCCGGCUGAUGGAGGAAGGCCGCGUCGACCCGCCGGCUCCUGCUCCAUCUCCGAUCUUCCGUCACCGUGCCAACAUCUUCGUCAGGGUAAUCUAUCCAUCUACCCACAUAAACUUGAACCCAUCGCCGCCGGCCUGCACCGUCAUCUAUCUAUCUAUAUCAAACAUACUAUGAUAAGUAUGUAACCAACUAUCUUUGCAGUGUGCUUUAACCACGCUGAGCCUGGCGAUACUGGCCUCCUUGUUCGUGCUCAAGUACAAGUACCACGACCCCGAGCUGCAGCACCCUCUUCUCAUGGCGCUCUGUGUCUUUCUAGCUCUCUGCUUCAUUCCUGCCGGGUUCCUAUGUACUCAAGACUAAUUGCCUCACAUCCAAACUUGGAUUCUUGUUUGUUUUGAGGGUUAGGCAGGCAUAUUAUAUUGAGUGCGGAGUUUCUGCUCCCGAGCUCAUCUGCACCCCCGCUCAGAAAAAAAUCAAAAUAAAUACUAGAAAAAUUAAAAAAAAUUCAAUUUUUUUUGGGUGGUAGAUAAUUUGAUGCGUGAGGUCCGGUCCAAAUUUCAACUCAUUUGGACAUCCGAGCAGCUCUCGUUAAAAAAGACAAAUUCAGGGUCUGUAAAAAAGUUUACUGUUUAUGCACUGUUCUGCUCCGAUUUGUCUUUUUUGCCGAGAGCUGCUCAGAUGUUCAAAUGAGUUGAAAUUUGGAGCGCACCUCACGCAUCAAAUUAUCUACCAUACAAAAAGAUUUGGAAUUGUUUGAAUUUUUCUACUAUUUGAUUAGAAUUUUUGUCUGAGCGGGAGCAAAUGAGUCUGGGCACUGAGUUGGAUUUCCGAUAUUAUAUACCCUUAUUUCUUCUUCUUCUUUUUUCAGGACUGAAAUGCAUGGUUGGUCCAUAAUUAAAUGCAUGGCUUUUUAUAUUUUUUAAAAUCCAAUUGCGUCGGUCUGCGUUGUACGCAUUUACGGGCCGAUGGACAAAACCAAACACCGACGUCCCUGACCAAUCCAAACGAACAAAAAAAAAAA